GGGAGGAAACUCGGUGUGCUGGUGACUGGAAACAUGAGUCCAGCUGAAAGGAGAAAGGGGACAGAUGCUUGUGGAAUACCAGCCCGGUACAAAUGUGCUUCCACUGUCUCCUCCACCUCUCACGAGAACCUGUGAGGUACAAUCGAUGCCUGGUGCCCCAGCAAAUCCUGACCCGGGUCUGCGUUGCCUCUCCACGGCUGGAACGCCGCCACGAGCCCACAGUCCAAAGGCCGCUGUGGAGCAGGCACGGCAUGAGGUGUUGUGUUGUUUGUUCCUAUGACCUUGCUUUGCUGGGGGGAGAGACGCUCACCAGAAGUUCACCCAGGUCCUGGGGAAGACUUCAAAGGUGGAAAGCGUUUUCAUUUCCCUGCAGGGCCUCGGCUCCAUCAGAUAGAGAAACUCUCUCUGACUCUCUUGGACCUCUUGCCCUGACUGGAAGUCUCUUCCAUUUCUUCUGCCUCAGGUCUUAGGUCUGGAAAUGAUUGCACAACUCCCUCACAAAUACAUCGUUGGGCAUCUGCACCCACUGCCCAAGAUCUUAGUAUUGCCUAGAUUUCUGGGCUGCUGUGUUGACAGCUGAGGUUGCGGGGUCAAGCAGAUUGGGGGUAGCUGGUAGUAAGGAAAUACUGGAUGUCUUAAUAAAAUACAACCCAGAAUUUCUAUGUCUAGUCAUGAGAGCAGAGUCUCUUGGUGGGGAGAGCUGGACCGUGUGGCUCCAACUUGGAGCUUGAGCCUGACUUCUCCCCAUGAGUCUCUCUUCAGCUACUCCUGCCUCCCACACGCUGCUCCCCCCUUGAUACAUCACCUUUGUCUCAUGAUCUGGACUUCUGGGACAAGACUAGCCCGCUCAAAUAGGUUUUAUCAAAACCUUAGGACAUACAAAUGAGAAAUGAACACAAAGAGUAAUAUGGAAGAGGGAAGUUGGCUCACAAGCCAGGGUUUAUUUUGUGACUCUCUCCAGAAGUCCCUCUCUCUGACUCCAGACCUCCCAGCUCCACAGGGUGGACACCACCUUGGCUCCCCCCACCAGGGAAGUUCAAGGUCAGCACAAUGAGGCUCAUGAAAAGAACUGGAUUUCCCCACUCCUGCCUGCCUAGGGCCUCAUGUAAUAAUUCAUUUUCUUACGUAAAGAAUCUCUUCUUCCCAGAGGGGAUUAGCCCUGGGAAUUACUUAUCAUUUCAAGGAAGUCUGGCUGUUGGGCUGUCCCUCUUCCCACUCCUAGGGAUUUCUGGAUUGGGAUCAAAUUCUAUUUCAACACCAUGACCCCAAGAUUCAUAUAGCAAAGAUUCAUAAAUCAAACACAAUGGUAAAACUUGGAUCCAGAUUUUAAUUCUUAAGUGGCCAAUAAAAUCUCCUGGGAUUCUUCCAGUCAUUAGUACUAUUCGCCAAAUGUUUGAGCUUCAUCUUCCGGCCACAUUGUAUGCUUUGAAGUUAGGUGUAGGCCUGUGUGGUGGUUUUAAAAUAUCCAUGUGUUUUUUGAUACUCUUCCCUUCUGGAGAUGAAGUUUAGCUUUGCCCAUAUGAUAUGGGCUAGAGUUAAUAACUCACUUAGAAUGAAUAGGAUAUUCUGGAAGUGAUAGUGUCUGACUUCUGAGACUAGGUCAUAAAAGGUUUUGUGGCUUCCCUCUUGGGCUCUCUCUUGACUUGCUCAUUCCAGGGGAAGCCGGCUGCCAUGUCAUGGGAACACUCAAGCAGCCCUUUAGAGAGGUCCACUGGCUAGGAACCAAGGCCUCCUGCCAACAACCAGUCCAAAGUUGCAGGCAUGUUAGUGAACCGCCCUGGAAGCAGAUCCCCCAGCCCCUGUCAGACCUCCAAAUGCCUGCAGCCCUGGCAUCUUCGCUGCAGCCUUGUGAGAGACCCUGGGCCAGAACCACCCAGCUAAGCCACUCCCAGAUUCCUGGCCCUCAGAAACUGUGUGACAGCAUAAGUGGUAAUUGCUCUCAGCCACUAAGUUUUGCGGUUAUUUGUUAUACAACAAUACAUAAUGAAUACACCUUAUGACUUGCUUUGGUCUAUGAAGAAUGGACCCAAGUAUCAUGUGUCAUUUCCAAGAAGAAGCCUUUACAACAAGGUACCGUCCACGGUGCUCUUUUUCUUGUCAGUUGCAGAUGGUGGCUGCCUCCUCAGCCGGACCUGGAGUGAGGAGUGUCUCUGGGUCAGGGUGCCAGCAGUGGAAAGAAGACACAGGCCAAAGGGGAGCUGAAUAGAGGUUAAUGAAGGGACCAUCCGCAGCAGUGUGGUCAGGCUUAGUAGAAACCGGGAAGGGGUGGUGAAACAUCUCAGGUUGGCAUUUUUACCCCUAAAGCCGAAGGGGCGGGGGAGGGAGCAGUUGCCAGAAUUUGGUGGGAGCUGUAGCUGUAGGAGAGGGCUCCUCAACAGGACUAUAGCCUUCUGUAGAGAAAUGCAGCCACUGCCAACCAACAGCCCUGCAAGGAGGGCUCUGGAGGAGUAAAUACCCAACCUUACCUCCUGCUGGUGCUUCCCACUGGCUAACCUGUGUAGUCUGAAAUAGCAGUUUUGCCAGUAUUUAAAUGACUCUUUAAAAAUGGUACCAAAGAGUUCAAUCUUUUAGCUCUUUUGGGAUGCAAUUUGUAGCUUACUCAUUUGAUGGUUCAUUGAGAGGAAAUUUUUCUUGAAAUAGCUGUACUGCUGAGGUCAUUCUGAGGUUCUUCUAUGGAAGAGGUGGCCAGCAUCUGUUUUAGAUACUUUCUCGCAAUGAAGUAUUUUCUUCCUUGUUAAACGGAGCUUUCCGAUGGCUACUGGCCUACCCAUGACCUGCACGCCAAGAGUCUUGCUCAUGGAGGUUGUGGCCUCCCAUUUUAGGAGGAUACAUCUUUUUCCAAUUGAUCUUGGGCCUUCCACCGUUCUGUAAACAUAGAUGAUGGUCCAGCCCAACCCUAAACGCAGCUAGAGGAUUUGCACAUCACCCCUCCCUGCAGAGUUGCUUUAGCUAACCUUAGGCUUUCAAGACCCAGGAAUCCUAGCCGGAAAAAGGGCCAACUGAACGGGACUGAGCUUACAGAAUAAAUGACUCAAUGUGCAAAGUGCUUAGAGCAUUCUUCCUCUCACAGAGGGCCUGUGCCAAGUUGGAGAUUUCAAACCGUUCCUUAGAGCCUUGUUACUGUAGCGAGGUAAGCCCCACCAAGUGUCCACUACCCAAGCAUCUUCUCCCUGGGCCUUCAGGUAGGUCGUGAUCAAUCAUGAUUCUACAGAUUAAAAUAUCUUUCCUGAGAAAUAAGUAUUAGCUCUUGCCUAAUGUCGUUGCUCUUGACGUUUGGACCUGUGUGGAACACUGGCUUUCUCUGCCGGCUGUACGGGAAGUCCAACUCAUAAAUAUUCACAAGGUAGUGUCAACUCGUAUUUGAACACCUGUCUGCCAGAGCUAUGCAGACCCUCCUCUCGAUACCUUAGACUAAUAGAUGAUGUUCUGUUCUAAGACAUUUAAUACUGGACAGAAGCAGUUUACUAAUCUAGACCCUGGAAGUACUGUCCCAACAUCAAAUUAAAAUCAUAGCAUGUCUGUGGGAGGAGUGAGGUCCGAGGCGGCUUGCCAAGGGAUACUCAAGUAGGAUAAAUACAGCCCAUCUUCCUGGAGCACCAAUUUUGUUAGAAGUUUUAAGGGGGAAACACAUUUUUAUGUAUAACACAUUAUGAAACAGACUGUAAAAUUCACAUGGCUUUUAAAUAUAAAUUGCAAAUCUUCGAAGAAAUUUUAGCUUACAGCUGGCCUUUUUGGGCUACAACCUCUCCUCACCCACCCCCAGCUCGUAUUCACGUGAGGGGGCUUUCACAGCAGAGCUGGAGCAGCAUGGGAUCUGAAAGUGCCUUGCUGGUGGCAGAGCUCCACCAAUGAGAGGAAGACAGAAAUAUGACCAGGAGACAGAGACCCAGACCCCACCUUUCAGCUCUUUGCAUAAAAACCUUCCCCAGGUUAGGAGCAGGUACCUUGCUGGGGGCUUUUAUGGCAAGUUCAUAGAGAGCCAUCCAGGCAAAUGAGCUUAAUAGGAUUUCUUUAUAAAAUGUUUAAAGAUAGUAAGGGGUCUGAGCACCCAAUUCAGAUGUGCGGAGGGGGGUUUUUCCCCACACCAGCAAGCCAUUCUCCGACACCAGCUGUGUCCUACAGUUCAACUCAAUUCUGACACUAUCCACCCAGAGAUAGUGUCAGAUCCCACAGGUUAAAGGCUCAGUCCUACAAGACUGUCCCUACCGCGCCACCCCCGACUUCAGACUGGCUUCUGACCGACUGGCUAGACAUGGGAGGUUCCAGUGACCCCCUCCUUGGAUUCAAUUAAUGUGCUAGAGCGGCUCACAGAACCCAGAGAAACAUUUUGCUUACAGAUUACCCAUUUAUUAUGAAAGGCUAUAACUCAGGAAAGGAACAGCCAGAUGGAAGUGACGCAUAGAGCAAGGUAUGGGGGAGGGGAGCCCAGCUUCCAUGCCUCUCCAGGAGUGUCAGUCUCUCCAAAGCUCCAUGUGUUCACUAACCUGGAAGCUCACUGAAGCCCCUCCUUUUGAAUGUUUAUGGAGGCUGCAUUACAUAGGUAUGACUGAUCCAAUCAUUGGCCAUUGAUGACUGAACUCAGUCUCCAGCCCUCUCCCCUCCCCGGAGAUCACGGGUGGGACUGUUCCAACCCUCUAAUCACGCGGUCGGCUUCCUUGGUGACCGGCCCCCUCCUAUCUUUAGGGCGUUUCCAAAAGUCACCUCAUUAACAUAAACCAGUUGUGAUUGAAGGGAGUUUGUUAUGAAUAACAAGACACCCAUUUCACCUUUAUGGCUCUGAAGCGAUUUCAGGAACUGAAGACAAGAGACCAAAUACUAUAACAAAAGAUGCUGCCAUUGCUCUUAUAGCUCAGGAAAUUCCAAUGGUUUUAGGAAUUCCAUGCCAGAAACUAGACAAAAACCAAAUGUAUACUAUUUCUUAUGAAUCACAGUAUCACAGAUAGUCUUCAGUGUCCCUCAGUACCCUUUAUACGAGGAUUCAUGUAAUAAAUUCCUGCUUGAUUUUAGACCUCAGAAAAAGCUACCUCCACAGAAGAAUGUUAGAAUUCUUUGUCUUAUUGGACAAUGAAAAUUAUGUAACUUACUGUGUUUCUUUCUGCUUCUUUGCCAGACAUCUUAGAGCCAAAUUUCCUAGGUCUUGUAAUGUGUUCGACUCUGAUGCCAGAAAAUGCUACCCCUUCUGCCUCCUUCAGAUGGACUCUGAGCUGCUCCAUCCCUGUAUGUCAAGUCUUGUUCUGUGUCGUAAACAGUCAGCAAACUCGGGGAGCAAACAGGGUACAAAUUAUAAUGUGAAUUUUUUCAAUCAGCUUUUAAAAGGUUGUGAUCAAUUUACAAACAAAAUUCAGAUACAAGACAAAAACUUUUAACACGGACCAGAGGACAAGUCAAACACUAGAGAGGGACAGCUAUGGAUAUUAUUUUUUAAAAAGAGAAAACCUAUACAAAUUUGGAUUGUUUUGCUAUGAUAAAUAAUGCUGCAAUGAAUACCUAUGUGCAAUUCUCAUAAUGUAUGUGCAAGGUAUAUUUUUAGAAGUGAAAUUAUUGCCCAUAUGGUGUAACUAUUUUCAAGGGCAAACUAAUUUGCUAUCUCUAUUAUGAUGCUUUGGGUCACAAGAGAUGCAGUAUAGCACAGCAGCUGCGAGUGCAGACUCUGAAUGGCCUGGGUUCGAAUUCAGGUUCCACUACUGAGUAGAAUUAAAAGCAGGCUGUUAACCCUCCGGUUCACUUCAGGAGAUAAUGAUAAACACAAUGGUCUACCCAGCAAAAAAUAGAAUAGAAAAGAAAGAGCAAUGGAACAUAAAAAUAAGAAAGCAUAAAACAAAAUGAAAGAAGAAAACCCAAAUAAAACCAUUGUGAAAAUAAAUGUAGAUGAAUUCAACUUGUCUUGAGUAAAAGACAGUGUUGCUCAAAUUGGGUCAAAAGUCAAAGGAGAGAUCCAUUGACUGUUUCCUCACCUUCAGCUAAAUCUUUACUCUGAAAUCUGGUCAUCCUGCCCAACUCACCACUGUCGCUUCUCUUGUCACGUCCUAUAGAUGGUCACUAAAUCCAGUGGAUUCUUUUCAGCUCUUGUCUUUCUUAACCUCUCCGAAAUAUUUGAUGCUGUUAGCCACACUUCCUCAUAACACAGCUCUUUCCUCAGCUUCUAUAAAGCUGCAUGUUUUCUGGUUUUCUUCCUUUCUCUCUGGCUGCUCCCUCUCAGUGUCUUUUUCCUUCGCCCAUCCCUUAAGCGUUGGUGCUGUUCCUCAGCGGGCUGCCCCAGGUGCUGUUCUUUCUCCCUCUAUAUAGUUUUUCUAUAAGAUCUCAGGCACUCCCAAAGCUUUGAUGACAACCCAUACACCGAUGGAUCCCAAAUCUGGAAUCCCAGUCCAGGUCUCAGGAGAGAUCCUGAACUCCAGAUCUGUGUAUCCAACUGCAUAUUGGAUAUUUCCAUUUAGGAACUUUGUAGGAACCUCAAACUCAACAGUACCCAACUGAACUCAUAAUUUCUCUCUUCUCUUUCUCCCGUUACUAGUAAAGGGCACCCCCUGGUUGCUAAAGUCAGAAACCUGGGAUCUAGCUUUGAAACCCCUCUCCCUUACCGCCCACAUCAAAUGAAUCAGCCUCCCGUAAGUCUUUUCUGAGUCCAUUGGCUUCCUUGCAUGCUCACUGACAACACCCUCUUCUGUCCCACCACCGUUUCUUGCCUGGGCUUUUGAACAGCUUCCUAAAUGGCCUCUCUGCCUUUAGUCAUGCUGUGCUACAAUCCAGUGUCCACUGUGCUCCAGAGUGUGUCUUCUAUAGAAAAAAAUUGACUAUGAUACACCCAUGUUUAACAUCCUUCCGUGACAAGGCCCUUCGGGACCUGCCAUUGAGUAUGCCUUGCUCUUCUCAUAUUCAGGCCUUUGCACAUGCUCUUCUGUUUCCCUGAAACAUUAUUUGCAAUUCUUUUCUUAGCUUACCUCUUCUCAUUCUUCAGUUCUCAGAUCAAAUGUCACUUUCUCAGGAAAAUCUAAAAUAGGUUAGGCUUCCUGGCCAUGUGUUUCCUUCUCAUCAUACAAUUUUUCUAUCAUUUAUCACAAAAGUGUUGAAAUUUCUUACUUAAUUCUCCUGUUUCUCUGUUGUACUGCAAGGUCCAUGAAGACGGGAACUGUGUCCAUCUUUUUCACCGCCUCGCACCCCAGCACCUAGCACCAUGUCCAGUAAUCAUUAGAUGCUCGAUAAAUAGUUGGUGAAUACAUGGACAGAGCUUGUUUUCAUCCUGCGGCUGUCUGCUCGUGUUUUGUGAAAGACGUCUCUCCUUCCACCCUAUUUAGGAUGCUGAAUGACGUCCCGGCACUUUCUUCCUGCAGUGAUC